GCUAGCCACGUUAGUACAAGAUCCGCCAUCUAUGAUCAAACUACAUACCUUGUGAUCAACACUACAUCUGGUGUGGAAGAUGUUCUCCCGCUGGAUGGUCUCUGGGUCAAAGAGGGUGCUAAGGGCUCUCCGGGUCACUAGCAGCUCGCCUGUCUCCGGGUAGUCGGUUACUUCCUCAUCAGAGAUCGCUGCCGCGGCCUCUGCCUCAUCUUGGGAUUCAUACUCGCCAUCCCCCUUUAGGACCAUCACUCGUUUGUUUGGACAAUCCCGAGCAUAGUGGCCCUUGCCCUGACACUUAUAACAAAUGAUGUCACGAGUACGCAAAUUUUGGGCUUGAGUCUUACCCUGCUCCGGCUUAGAUGCAUUGGAUGAUUCAGCCGGGUUUGUCUUGAAUCGGCUCUCAAUCUCAAUCGUCUUGCCCUUGUCGCCUUGCUUUGAACCCGGUUGAGUCCAAGCAGGUUUGCUGCGGCUGGUACUGGCCGUCUUGCGCUUGAUGUGCUGCUCGGCUUGCGUAGCAAAGUGCAAUAGAUCGUUGAAGUCUUCAUAGUGUUGUCUCUCCACCUUGCGGGCAAUGCGGUCUUGCAGCCCUUCCAGGAAUUGGGACAUCAUUGUCUCCUCGGGCUCGUCGGUCUCAAGCUUAUUCCUAAGAGCCUCGAACUCCUCAAAGUACUCCUCCACAGUCUUAGUUCCCUGCGUAAGUUUACGAAAACGUUUUAGCACAUCACGCUGGUAGUAAGAUGGAAUGUACCUCGCGCGAAGCUUGGUCCGCAUCUCGGUCCAAUUACGCGCUCUCCACACUGGCCCGGACUUGGCAACGUCUCGAUCCCACCACGAAAGAGCAUUGUCCGUCAGCUGGGCUGCUGCUAGGGCAACCUUCUUGGCCUCACUAUAUUGGUAAUAGUCGAAGAUGUACUCCAUGCGCUUCUCCCACACGAUGUAGGCAUCCGGAUCAACCUUGCCGGCAAACGUUGGGGGAUGAAGCUUAAGUGCCUUGCCUCCCAACCAAGGCUCUUCCUCCUCUCGGUCUCGACCUCCCCUAUGGUCGCGGCCUCCUCCUACUUGGGCCCGGGGUCCUCGCGCGUUCCUCCUACCUCCCCGGUUCGGCCUCUCCUCGUCCUGACUGCGCGUAUCAUCGGUACUGUCCGCGUCCGAGUCAGUGUCAUGCGGGUCCGGCUGAUGCCUUCCUGGUGGUCGAGGUCCGUUGGGCCUGCCUCCCUGCCGUAGCUGAGCAAGCUCGGCUGUGAUAGUCCUAAGGCUCGCCCUCAGUUCUUCAUUGUCAGCUAAGAGCUGAGCGUUUAUGGCCGCUUGGUCUUGACCUACAUCUCCCAUAGUUCUCUGAGAAGAAACUCAAAGAAAGAUUAAAAGGCAAGAGGGGGUUAAAUAGUUGCUUGGGUCGGAUACUAUGAGUAUCGACCAAGGCAAAGAAUAAAUGCAAAAGUUAAGACAAAAAAAUCGAAUCAGGUUUGAAAAAGGAAAGACAGAAUUUUUUUUUUUUUUUGAAAACUUGGAGAACAAUCCGAAAAUUUUAAAAAUAAGGAAAGUGAAUAAAUUUUUUUUUUUUUGAAAACUUGGAGAACAAUCCGAAAAUUUUAAAAAUAAGGAAAGUGAAAAAAUAGAAAAAUCGAAAACUUGGAGAACAAUCCAAAAAAAUUAAGGAAAGUAAAUAUUUUUUUUUUUUUGAAUUGUGACGGCUAGGGUUCAGAAAGAACUGAGUUUCGCAGGAAACUUCAGCUCUGAUACCAAAAUGUUGUAGGCACGGGUCGGAGGGUCGGACGGACGGACGGACGCACGGACGGAUGGCCGUUCCGCGGUUCAGCUUUGCCUCGGACGGAUGGUACUGGCCGGCUCGUCUCUUGCUUGCGGUCGAACCUGAAACAGAUAGGAAACUUUAAUGAAUUUUCAACAGGAACAAGAACAGAAACAAGAUAGGAUUCUUUUGGUUUUUAUGGAAUUGGUUGAAUGAAAUCUAAAACAAAAGAUAAAGAAAGGAGUAGAUUGGCGGAUGGGAUCAGCUGCUGGACGUAUGUCUCUCUCAGCUAGAUGCCUAGGUCGGACAGAAAGAUAGGUAUGGAUCCGGCUCUUGCUGGACGUAUGUCUCUCUCAAGAUUCGGACAAGGAAUGGAAUGGAUCGAAGGACGCCACAAAGAACAAUGGAUCGGCUCUUUGAUAUGUCACACGGCUGCUCUCAAUGUUUCACACAACUGAAAGACUUAGGGUUUCCUUUGCUAAAGCAAAUCGAUUUCAUAAAAGACUUAGCCGAAAAGUUGGCAACUACAAGGGUUUAAAUAGAUGUUCCUUACUGGACUUAAAGAUUAAAAAGGCCUAGACAAAUGGCCAAAGUCUUAACCGAAAUAAAAAUAAAGAAAACAAUAGACCGGUCGCGGUUUGAGAUGUCCGGAUCAGAACUCAUAGUAUGCUUGCUUGUUGCCUCAUUAAAACCUUUCGGGAAAACCCAGUGGGACAAAACCUCGAUAAGGAAAAAGAGUACAACACAUACUACUCCUUCUGAUGGUCGGCUAUAUCUCUGAACCGGAAGCAAGUUGGUUGGAUGGAUUGAGUAUGAAGGUGGAAAUGGUCAGGCCGGCUUCAUUCUGGCCGAUGGAGGAGAACUGGCUCGAAUGGACAGGGUCUGGAACCUCUAGUGGUUCACCGGUGUCUUCCAGCUUCAAGUCAGACAACUCCUGGAUCAAUAGUUGCUUGAACCCGGUUUGUUCUUGUGCAAGCAACUCCUGGACAGCUUUGGCAAAUCCAGCUCUUAUAACUCUUGAACCGGACCUUGUGGUAGGGCCUUUGCGGAUAAUGGGAACCUCAGUCGUGGGUACUACAACAUCCCCUCCCUCUUGACCAGGUUCUGUCCUCAGAACAUCUUUAUCAUCUGCAAUAUAAGGAGACAAAUCAGAUACAUUGAACGUUCGGGAAACUUGGAACUCACCUGGCAGCUCUAGCCGGUAGGCAUUGUCAUUGAUCCGAUCGAGCACUCGGAAUGGUCCAUCUCCCCGUGGGGAUAAUUUGCUCUUCCUCUCCUCCGGAAACCGUUCUGGCCUCAUGUGGAGCCACACCCAGUCGCCUGGCUGGAAGAUAACUUCUGUGCGCCCCUUGUUGAGCUUAAUCCGGUUCCUUUCAGCCUUCUUCUCCAAAGUCUCCUUGACUUGCCGGUGCAUGUUCUUUACAAACUCAGCCUUUUUGUCACCACUCUGACUGACUUGCAUGGCUGGGGGCAAUGCGGCUAGGUCCAUGGGCGUCUCUGGUCUAAAGCCGUACACGAUCUCAAAAGGGGAGAGGUUAGUAAUAGAGUGCCUUGCAUGGUUAUAAGCAAACUCAAUGAAAGGAAAACAACUCAGCCAGUUUUUAAGAUUCUUACCCACCGUAGCCCUCAAUAACUGAGAGAGUGUACGGUUUACUACCUCGGUCUGUCCAUCAGUGUGUGGAUGGCAAGUGGUCGAGAAAAGGAGCUUGGUUCCAAGAUUUUUCCACAAUGUCCUCCAGAAGUGGCUGAGAAAUUUGUGUCUCGAUCUCGAGGCACUCGUAAACGCACCAUGGUACGAGGCACUCCAUGUAAACGCACCACUUCCUUGAAGAAGAGAUCAGCGGUUUGGCUUGCGUCAUUGGUUUUGGAACACGGAAUGAAGUGUGCCAUCUUGGAGAACCUGUCCACUACAACAAAAAUAGAAUCCUUGUGUUCUAUCUUGGGCAAGCCCAGCACAAAGUCCAUAGACAGAUCGACCCACGGUGCAAUAGGAAUAGGUAAAGGCAUGUGUAAACCAUAAGGAUGCGACCUGGAUUUGGUUUUGAGACAGACAGUGCACUUGGAGCAAAGGCUCUCGACGUAGCGCCUCAUCCGGGGCCAAUAGAAGUGGUCGGAUAGGACACUCAGAGUUUUGUCCCGACCGAAAUGCCCCAUCAAUCCACCCCCAUGAGCUUCUCUGGUCAGUAAAUCUCGCAUGGAACCAUGAGGGAUACACAGGCGUUUCUCCUUGAAGAGGAAUCCGUCCUGCUGAUAGAAUGGACCCAUGGCUCCCUUAGCCGUGUUACUGUAAAGCUCAGAAAAAUCAGGGUCAGUUUCAUAAGACAUUUUGAGUUGCUCAAAACCCAUGAUCUUAGCCUCCAUGGUGGUAAUGAGUGUGUGGCGCCGGGAUAGGGCGUCGGCCACUAUGUUGUCCUUUCCCUUCUUGUACUUGAUCACAUAAGGAAAAGUUUCCACGAACUCCAGCCACCUAGCAUGCCUCUUCUUGAGUGUGGUCUGGCCCCUCAAAUGCUUAAGAGUCUCAUGAUCUGUAUGAAUAAUAAACUCUUUAGACAAAAGAUAAUGUUGCCAAGUUUCAAGCGACCUUACUAGAGCAUAUAGCUCUUUAUCAUAGGUGGGGUAAUUGAGGGCGGCUCCACUCAAUUUCUCACUGAAAAAGGCCACUGGCCGGCCUCCUUGGGUCAGCACGGCUCCUAUUCCUGUCCCUGAAGCAUCACACUCAAUCUCAAAAGGUUUAUCAAAGUUAGGAAGAGUUAGAACCGGUGCAUGUGUCAAGCUAUAUUUAAGCCUGUUGAAAGACUCCUCUUGGGCAGGGCCCCAAGCAAAGGUUACAUUCUUCUUGAUCACGGAGGUCAUUGGGGCGGCAAUGGUACUGAAGUCCUUCACAAAUCGUCGAUAGAAACUGGCCAGUCCAUGGAAGCUGCGGAUAUGUCCGAUCGUGGUUGGAGUCGGCCAGUCUUGUAUCGCCUUGAUCUUCUCUUCAUCAACCUUCAGUCCCUGUGAACUCACAACAAAGCCUAAAAAUACCAAUUGAUCAGUGCAGAAUACACAUUUCUUAAGGUUAGCAUAAAGGCCUUCUUGCCUUAAGGCUUUCAAAACCUGUUCUAGGUGUCCCAUGUGUUCAGUUAAAGACCUGCUGUAAAUCAAGAUAUCAUCAAAGUAUACAACCACGAAUUUACCAAUGUAAGGUCGGAGGACCUCAUUCAUGAGUCUCAUGAAGGUGCUAGGGGCGUUGGUAAGGCCAAACGGCAUCACCAGCCACUCGUAUAGACCUUGCUUGGUCUUGAAGGCGGUUUUCCACUCAUCUCCUUCCUUCAUGCGGACUUGAUGGUAUCCACUCCUGAGAUCAAUCUUAGAAAACACAACAGACCCACUCAGUUCAUCCAACAUAUCAUCUAAUCUAGGUAUAGGGUACCGAUAUUUGAUGGUUAUGUUGUUGAUGGCUCGGCAGUCCACACACAUGCGCCAUGUCCCAUCUUUCUUAGGCACUAGUAGGACCGGGACUGCACAGGGGCUAAGGCUCUCGCGGAUGUAGCCUUUGUCCAUGAGAUCUUGGACCUGCCGUUCCAGCUCCUUAGCUUCCUCAGGGUUGACACGGUAAGCGGCUCGGUUUGGUAGUGGCGCGCCGGGUACAAGAUCGAUCUGAUGUUCUAUGCCACGGAUAGGGGGCAAUCCGGCAGGGAUCUCGUCAGGGAAGACAUCCUUGUAACGUCCCAUGAGGUCUUGUACUACGUCCGGUACUUCAGGAGCUUCUAAACCUGCAAAACAACCUUCCUUAAAGAUCAUUAGUAGCACCUGUGUCUCACGUUGUAAUGAUUUAAGCACUUGUCCGGAAGUCAUGUAAAGGUUAGUAUUACUUACCUGGCCGGAAUGCGUCAUUGCCUUCUGCAUAUCAUGAACUUCUUGAGGGCUGAGAGGUGCUAGGCUGUGCUUCUUGUUGUUGUGGACGAAACUGUAGAUGUUGGUGCGGCCAUGGUGAAGUGUCUCCUUGUCAAACUGCCACGGCCUUCCGAGAAGUAUAUGGCCUGCUUGCAUGGGCACAACAUCACACUUGACCUGGUCGUGGUACUUGCCAAUACUGAAGGACACAACAACUUGUUCGGCAAUCUUGAGCUCAGUCUCAUCAUUGAGCCAUUUGAGACGGUAUGGCCGAGGAUGGACAGUUUUGACCAACCCUAGCUUAUCAACAAGAUACUUGCUAGCCACGUUAGUACAAGAUCCGCCAUCUAUGAUCAAACUACAUACCUUGUGAUCAACACUACAUCUGGUGUGGAAGAUGUUCUCCCGCUGGAUGGUCUCUGGGUCAAAGAGGGUGCUAAGAGCUCUCCGGGUCACUAGCAGCUCGCCUGUCUCCGGGUAGUCGGUUACUUCUUCAUCAGAGAUCACUGCCGCGGCCUCUGCCUCAUCUUGGGAUUCAUACUCGCCAUCCCCCUUUAGGACCAUCACUCGUUUGUUUGGACAAUCCCGAGCGUAGUGGCCCUUGCGCUGACACUUAUAACAAAUGAUGUCACGAGUACGCAAAGUUUGGGCUUGAGUCUUACCCUGCUCCGGCUUGGAUUCAUUAGAUGAUUCAGCCGGGUUUGUCUUGAAUCGGCUCUCAAUCUCAAUCGUCUUGCCCUUGUCGCCUUGCUUUGAACCCGGUUGAGUCCAAGCAGGUUUGCUGCGGCUGGUACUGGCCGUCUUGCGCUUGAUGUGCUGCUCGGCUUGCGUAGCAAAGUGCAAUAGAUCGUUGAAGUCUUCAUAGUGUUGUCUCUCCACCUUGCGGGCAAUGCGGUCUUGCAGCCCUUCCAGGAAUUGGGACAUCAUUGUCUCCUCGGGCUCGUCGGUCUCAAGCUUAUUCCUAAGUGCCUCGAACUCCUAAAAGUACUCCUCCACAGUCUUAGUUCCCUGCGUAAGUUUACGAAAACGUUUUAGCACAUCACGCUGGUAGUAAGAUGGAAUGUACCUCGCGCGAAGCUUGGUCCGCAUCUCGGUCCAAUUACGCGCUCUCCACACUGGCCCGGACUUGGCAACGUCUCGAUCCCACCACGAAAGAGCAUUGUCCGUCAGCUGGGCUGCUGCUAGGGCAACCUUCUUGGCCUCACUAUAUUGGUAAUAGUCGAAGAUGUACUCCAUGCGCUUCUCCCACACGAUGUAGGCAUCCGGAUCAACCUUGCCGCAAACGUUGGGGGAUGAAGCUUAAGCGCCUUGCCUCCCAACCAAGGCUCUUCCUCCUCUCGGUCUCGACCUCCCCUAUGGUCGCGGCCUCCUCCUACUUGGGCCCGGGGUCCUCGCGCGUUCCUCCUACCUCCCCGGUUCGGCCUCUCCUCGUCCUGACUGCGCGUAUCAUCGGUACUGUCCGCGUCCGAGUCAGUGUCAUGCGGAUCCGGCUGAUGCCUUCCUGGUGGUCGAGGUCCGUUGGGCCUGCCUCCCUGCCGUAGCUGAGCAAGCUCGGCUGUGAUAGUCCUAAGGCUCGCCCUCAGUUCUUCAUUGUCAGCUAGGAGCUGAGCGUUUAUGGCCGCUUGGUCUUGACCUACAUCUCCCAUAGUUCUCUGAAAAGAAACUCAAAGAAAGAUUAAAAGGCAAGAGGGGGUUAAAUAGUUGCUUGGGUCGGAUACUAUGAGUAUCGACC
rnacentral:lncRNA from 1 species